rnacentral:rRNA from 1 species
AAUGGACGCAAGUCUGACCCAGCCAUGCCGCGUGCAGGAUGAAGGCCCUAUGGGUUGUAAACUGCUUUUGUACGGGAAGAAAUCCCCUGACGUGUCAGGGGUUGACGGUACCGUGCGAAUAAGCACCGGCUAACUCCGUGCCAGCAGCCGCGGUAAUACGGAGGGUGCAAGCGUUAUCCGGAUUCAUUGGGUUUAAAGGGUGCGCAGGCGGAAUGAUAAGUCAGUGGUGAAAUCCUACGGCUCAACUGUAGAACUGCCAUUGAUACUGUCAUUCUUGAGUAUAGUUGAAGUGGGUGGAAUGUAUCAUGUAGCGGUGAAAUGCAUAGAUAUGAUACAGAACUCCGAUAGCGAAGGCAACUCACUAAACUAAAACUGACGCUCAUGCACGAAAGCGUGGGGAGCAAA